ACAUAACAUCUUCAACGUCACAGUCGCACCGUGCUCAUCCAGCACGUUAGGAACAAGACCACAUGAAGCUCCCGCUGACACUUUCGUCUCCACGUACAGUGGCGGAGGGAAGGGGGGGCUGAGGGGGGCCUGGCACCCCCCAACCUUCCCAUAACUCCCUUAAUACAUCCCAUAAAUUAGAUGCUGAAUUGUCUAAUUAACUAGUUAUUAAUAAUAUUAUCUAUACUAAGAUUUUUAUUCUUAUUUCAUAUUAAUCUCUAAUAGUUUUUUAUACAAAUAAAAUCUAGAUCUUUCUAAUAUUUUCUUCAUAUCUUUUAUUUUUAUUAUUGUCUAUCAAACAUUAGUUUGUCCCGUACUACAUACUCUAAUUAGCUAGUUAAUUAAAAAUCAGUGUUUUUCUUGUUUAAUCCUUCUGAAUUGAUCCCCAACAAUAGAAUCUAUAUUAUUUAGCAUUAGUCUUCCUAUUAUCUUUCUUAUCUCCUAAGUUUUUAUCAUUAUUUGUCUAAACUCUAAACGGUUAUUUAGCUCGUGUACUCAACUUUUAAACACUAACAGUGGUAUGGUGUUUCUGUUUAACCUUCUAUUUUUGACCAUUUUACCCGUUUAAGUGAUCAUCUUGGCUGAGGCUAAACGAUAUGCAACUGAUUGUUUGUCAUCCAAUGUUAGGAUCUAGUGCUAAUUAAUUUUGCCCCUGUUUAACUACUUGUUUUAUUGUGGUUCUUUUCCUGGCCAAAGAAAUAGAUUGAUUAGGUGAAGGUUAGAGGCCUGAGACUAAUUAAUUUAUCUUUAUUUUUUUAGUUUUUCUUCUUGUUUUUAUCGUGACGCAAACGUUUAUUUUGCUGCUAUGUACACCUUUGUCAUGUAAUAUUUUGAUAUACAUAACUGUUCUUGGUUUGCACGGCCCCCCCUAUGUUUAAAUUCUAGCUCCGCCCCUGUCCAGGUAGAACCCGGCCACACGCCGCUGCCGUUCGUACUAGCUGAAACAUGGUGAGCACUUACACGAACCUUCUCACCAUUCAUGUUCUAUGUAUGUUAUACAAUCCAAUCUUCUGUUUCUA
rnacentral:lncRNA from 1 species